UACGGAGGGGGCUAGCGUUGUUCGGAAUUACUGGGCGUAAAGCGCGCGUAGGCGGACCUGCAAGUCGGGGGUGAAAGCCCGAGGCUCAACCUCGGAACUGCCUUCGAUACUGCGGGUCUCGAGUCCGGGAGAGGUGAGUGGAAUUCCUAGUGUAGAGGUGAAAUUCGUAGAUAUUAGGAAGAACACCGGUGGCGAAGGCGGCAUCCUGGACCGACAUUGACGCUGAGGAGCGAAAGCUAGGGGAGCAAACGGG
rnacentral:rRNA from 1 species